rnacentral:ncRNA from 1 species
GGCCCGUGGGGGCAGAGAUCAAGUGUGACAGUUUUGCUCUGAGCUACCCUUGGAGUCGGGUUGUUUGUGAAUGCAGCCCAAAGUGGGUGGUAAACUCCAUCCAAGGCUAAAUACUUACACGAGUCCGAUAGCAAACAAGUACCGUGAGG